GCCGAGGUGGUGAAACUGGCAGACACGCAGCCUUGAGGAGGCUGUGCCCUUUAACAAGGCGUGGAGGUUCAAGUCCUCUCCUCGGCA
rnacentral:tRNA from 1 species